CGUGUAGGCGGUGCGGUAAGUUGGGCGUGAAAUCCCCGAGCUUAACUCGGGUGGGCCGUUCAAGACUGCCGUGUUAGGGUGCGGGAGAGGGAAGUGGAAUUUCCGGUGUAGCGGUGAAAUGCGUAGACAUCGGGAGGAACACCUGCGGCGAAGGCGGCUUCCUGGACCGUAACCGACGCUGAGGCGCGAAAGCUAGGGGAGCAAACAGGAUUAGAUACCCUGGUAGUCCUAGCCCUAAACGAUGAGCACUGGGUGUGGCCCCUCACGAGGCCGUGCCGAAGCUAACGCAUUAAGUGCUCCGCCUGGGGAGUACGGUCGCAAGGCUGAA
rnacentral:rRNA from 1 species